rnacentral:rRNA from 1 species
CCCUUAGAUGUUCUAGGCCGCACGCGCGCUACACUGAGCCCUUCAUCGAGUUUACAACCUUGGCCGGUAGGUCUGGGUAAUCUUCUCAAAGGGGCUCGUGCUGGGGAUAGAUUAUUGUAAUUUUUAAUCUUCAACGAGGAAUUCCUAGUAAACGCAAGUCAACAGCUUGCAUUGAUUACGUCCCUGCCCUUUGUACACACCGCCCGUCGCUACUACCGAUUGAAUGGCUUAGUGAGCCCGAGGGACUGUUGCACCUAGAGGGUUUUCUCUCCAGGAGCAGCCGGGAACUCGGUCAAACUUGAUCAUUUAGAGGAAGUAAAAGUCGUAACA